CGGCCUUCUAUUGGAGUUUAAAGAUAAGUAUGAAAAGUUGCCUCUUACUCAAAAAGAGGAUACCAAAAGGCAACUUUGUGAAUUUAUUGAUACUUCUCUUCCAUUAACUCUUGAGCCUAAUGUUAAACCUCACAAAGGUCGUCCAAUGAGUUCUAAAAAUAGAAAAGAAUCAAGCUCUACAAAGCGUGGUCCUUCAAAGUUUGAAAUAGUGGAGAAGGCUCAAAAACGUGCUCGACGGGUGUGAUGAGCAUAAUGAUUUGCCAAAGAAACUUUUUGUUAAUAAUAGCUUAGAUGUGUAAAGAACACAUUAAGGUUGGAGUGCAUGGGUUUCAUAUCUUUUUGGUAAUAUUGACAUCUCCUUUUGAACACAAGAUUAAAGGCCAAACAUAGUGUAGG